rnacentral:rRNA from 1 species
UACAGAGGUCCCAAGCGUUGUUCGGAUUCACUGGGCGUAAAGGGUGCGUAGGUGGUGCGGUAAGUCGGAUGUGAAAUCUCCGAGCUCAACUCGGAAAUGGCAUUGGAAACUACCUUGCUCGAGGGUUGGAGGGGGGACUGGAAUGCUUGGUGUAGCAGUGAAAUGCGUAGAUAUCGAGAGGAACACCGGUGGCGAAGGCGGCCUUCUGGACAGUGACUGACGCUGAGACGCGAAAGCGUGGGGAGCAAACAGG